rnacentral:misc_RNA from 1 species
CAACCCUCAAGCCUCGCUUGGUGUUGGGCCCUGCCCGCCGCGGCCGGCCCUAAAGAUAGUGGCGGCGCCGCCUGGCCCUCAGCGUAGUACAGCUCUCGCUCCAGGGUCCGGCGGCAGCCUGCCAGAACCCCCCCCCAACUCUGU